rnacentral:pre_miRNA from 1 species
AGAUUAUCUCUAAAGUUGAUCUAUUGGAAUGACUUAUCUAAGUCAAAGUAAUUCAAGUAAUUCAGGUGUAGUGGAAC